CCUACGGGGCGCAGCAGUGGGGAAUAUUGCGCAAUGGGCGAAAGCCUGACGCAGCGACGCCGCGUGAGGGAUGAAGGUCUUCGGAUCGUAAACCUCUGUCAGCAGGGAAGAACGGUCACUGUGCUAAUCAGCAGUGAAUUGACGGUACCUGCAAAGGAAGCACCGGCUAACUCCGUGCCAGCAGCCGCGGUAAUACGGAGGGUGCGAGCGUUAAUCGGAAUUACUGGGCGUAAAGCGCUCGUAGGCGGUAUGUCAAGUCAAGGGUGAAAUCCCCGCGCUCAACGUGGGAACUGCCUUUGAAACUGGCAAACUGGAGUGUGGGAGAGGAUAGUGGAAUGCCAGGUGUAGGAGUGAAAUGCGUAGAUAUCUGGAGGAACAUCAGUGGCGAAGGCGACUAUCUGGCACAUAACUGACGCUGAGGAGCGAAAGCGUGGGUAGCAAACAGGAUUAGAUACCCUUGUAGUC
rnacentral:rRNA from 1 species